rnacentral:rRNA from 1 species
UACAGAGGGGGCAAGCGUUGUUCGGAAUUACUGGGCGUAAAGGGCGCGUAGGCGGCGCGGUAAGUCACUUGUGGAAUCUCUGAGCUUAACUCAGAACGGCCAAGUGAUACUGCAGUGCUAGAGUGCAGAAGGGGCAAUCGGAAUUCUUGGUGUAGCGGUGAAAUGCGUAGAUAUCAAGAGGAACACCUGAGGUGAAGACGGGUUGCUGGGCUGACACUGACGCUGAGGCGCGAAAGCCAGGGGAGCAAACGGG